CGUGCGUUCUUUCAAAAUUUAAACAACAAAUUAUUUGAAAAAUGUCAGAGAAGGUUGUCGAUGUACAGUUGUCGACAAACAUAUUGAUUUUGGAUUGAAUACCGCAAAAUGACAUUUUAACUCAUAAAAACAUUAAAGUUGUUUGGACGCAUGUUGGUAUUUUGAGCACUCAUGAAGCAAUUUGGCAUGGUCUUCUAACGAUUGGAAUGCCUAUGGAUUUUCAUGGAUUAAAGAUCGAAUAUUAAAAUGUUAAUAGAAAAAGGAGUGACUAUGUAUUUGAAUUAUGAAGAAAUUUCAAUGGAUACUGUGAAAUGAACUUUGAAAGAAAUUAUUUACAAUCCUAAAUAUUCGCAAAAUAUGAAGAAACUGUCAUGUGAAUUUCGCGAUCGGCCUGUUCCAUCACUCGAUUUAAUAGUUUGGUACAUGGAAUGUAUCACUCGAUAUCUUGGAAAGGAGUUUAGCUUCCC